rnacentral:tRNA from 2 species
GGGGAAUUAGUAUAAUGGUUAGUACACUAUAUUUACACUAUAGUAGUGGUGGUUCGAUUCCAUCAUUCCCUA